CUUGCUCUUUGGGUGACGAGCGGCGGACGGGUGAGUAAUGUCUGGGAAACUGCCUGAUGGAGGGGGAUAACUACUGGAAACGGUAGCUAAUACCGCAUAACGUCGCAAGACCAAAGUGGGGGACCUUCGGGCCUCAUGCCAUCAGAUGUGCCCAGAUGGGAUUAGCUAGUAGGUGAGGUAAUGGCUCACCUAGGCGACGAUCCCUAGCUGGUCUGAGAGGAUGACCAGCCACACUGGAACUGAGACACGGUCCAGACUCCUACGGGAGGCAGCAGUGGGGAAUAUUGCACAAUGGGCGCAAGCCUGAUGCAGCCAUGCCGCGUGUAUGAAGAAGGCCUUCGGGUUGUAAAGUACUUUCAGCGAGGAGGAAGGCGUUAAGGUUAAUAACCUUGACGAUUGACGUUACUCGCAGAAGAAGCACCGGCUAACUCCGUGCCAGCAGCCGCGGUAAUACGGAGGGUGCAAGCGUUAAUCGGAAUUACUGGGCGUAAAGCGCACGCAGGCGGUCUGUCAAGUCGGAUGUGAAAUCCCCGGGCUCAACCUGGGAACUGCAUCCGAAACUGGC
rnacentral:rRNA from 1 species